UGUUGCACGACUUAAACAACUUUUGAACGUACACGUUCCACCAGAACAAAACAAGUUCCUUCUCGAGGCUAUUUCGCAGAGGCACCGUUGCUCCGUCCAGCGUCUAACGCCAUCCAAGACGAUUGGGAUUGUUUUGAAGAAAUGCCAAUAAACCAGAGCACGUUUUUCUCCCA